GCCCCCCCCUGGAGUAUGUGUUAAUUCGAUGCAACGCGAAGAACCUUACCUGGUCUUGCAUCCCCCGGAACUUUCCAGAGAUGGAUUGGUGCCUUCGGGAACCGUGAGACAGGUGCUGCAUGGCUGAAAAAACCGUGUCGUGAGAUGUUGGGUUAAGUCCCGCAACGAGCGCAACCCUUGUCCUUAGUUGCCAGCACGUAAUGGUGGGAACUCUAAGGAGACCGCCGGUGACAAACCGGAGGAAGGUGGGGAUGACGUCAAGUCAUCAUGGCCCUUACGACCAGGGCUACACACGUACUACAAUGGUAGUCAGAGGGCUGGGGCCAGAGGGUAAG
rnacentral:rRNA from 1 species